GAGCUGGAAUAACCAGUUUCCGACACUCGUUCGCAUCGAGUAGGUCAGGGGUUCGAAUCCCCUUAGCUCCA
rnacentral:tRNA from 1 species